AGGAAGGGGUGAUUCAGAAGGUUUUUUGGGAGGUGGAGCAGCAUAUUGAAGUGGUGGAGCAUAAAAAAUUGAACUUUAAGAGCAUAAAAAAUAGAAGCCAUGAACACUCUAAGCAUCCUUCCAAAAAGCCACUGCUCCUGGGUGGUGGAGCAGCAUAUUGAGGUGGUGCCAUUACAGGAAGCCCAUGGAAGAUUUUGAAGAAUAUGCUGCAAAAGCUAAAACUUUACUUGAAAAUACUACUAACGGGAACAAAUUGAUCCUCUAUGGGCUUUGCAAAAAAGCAAAUGUUGGACCAGUGAAAACUAGCUGACCUGGUAUAUUCGAUAUGAGGGACAGAGCCAAGUGGGAUGCUUGGAAGGUUGUUGAAGGGAAGGAAGUCAAAGGAGGUGGCUAUGAGUGACUACAUCACAAAGGUUAAAUAGCUGCUCAAGGCAGCUGCACAUCUUGCUCUUUGUAGUACCAUGGUGUCCUCGAUAUCGAAGUAAAGAUCAUGCUGGACUAGGAUCCUAAAAGAAAGCAGGGCACCAUGACCCCUUUGCCAGAUCAUGUUACAAUUCAUGCCCCAAAGGAGGAAGAGGAGUUACACUCCAGAAGAAUUUGAAUGCUACAACCUUUGCAAAAGGAAUUAGGAUUACAUUUCUUCUUCAUAAGCUUUCGGCAUGUAACAAGACAAAGUUCUUCUGAUUUAUGCGCUUGAACUAGUCAUAGAUUAACAUGAAGGAAGAUUGGGAGUCCUUGGGCCCAUAUCUUAGUUUGUUCCAAUCUUCUCAGGAGUGUUAUUUGUUCUUAUCAUUUGUUUUGAAAACCGACGUGGUUACUCCCACAAAUUUUUACUAUUUUGU